UACGGAAGGGGCAAGCGUUGUUCGGAAUCAUUGGGCGUAAAGGGUGCGUAGGCGGCGCGGUAAGUCGGGUGUGAAAUCUCGGGGCUUAACUCCGAAACUGCAUUCGAUACUGCCGUGCUUGAGGACUGGAGAGGAGACUGGAAUUUACGGUGUAGCGGUGAAAUGCGUAGAUAUCGUAAGGAAGACCAGUGGCGAAGGCGGGUCUCUGGACAGUUCCUGACGCUGAGGCACGAAGGCCAGGGGAGCAAACGGG
rnacentral:rRNA from 1 species